GGCCGUAACAAUAACGGUCCUAAGGUAGCGAAAUUCCUUGUCGGGUAAGUUCCGACCUGCACGAAUGGCGUAACGAUGGCCACACUGUCUCCUCCUGAGACUCAGCGAAAGUUGAAAUGUUUGUGAAGAUGCAAUCUCCCCGCGGCAAGACGGAAAGACCCCAUUGAACCUUUUACUGUAGCUUUGCAUUGGACUUUUGAAUCGGUCUGUGUAGGAUAGGUGGGAGGCUGUGAAAACCGGGACGCCAGUUUCGGUGGAGCCAACCUUUGAAAUACCACCCUGAUUUAUUUGAGGUUCUAACCUUGAUCCGUGAAUCCGGAUCGGGGACCGUGCAUGGUGGGCAGUUUGACUGGGGCGGUCUCCUCCCAAAAGGUAACGGAGGAGUACGAAGGUACGCUUAGGGCGGUCGGACAUCGCCCAUAAAGUGCAAUGGCAAAAAGCGUGCUUGACUGCGAGACCCACAAAGUCGAGCAGGUGCGAAAGCAGGUCAUAGUGAUCCGGUGGUUCUGUAUGGAAGGGCCAUCGCUCAACGGGAUAAAAAGGGUACUCUGGGGG
rnacentral:rRNA from 1 species